rnacentral:lncRNA from 1 species
CCCUGGGUGGUCCUGGGAUCAUCAAAUUGCUUUGCCUCAGUCUAUUCAUCUGUAAAAUGGGUUCAAAGAUAUGCCACCUCCUGGCGGGUGGUUGUGGACAAGGAAAGGAGAGAGAAAGAGGCUAGCCUGGAUUGUACCCCACUGUGCUCACUCGAUCAGGGUGUCCUGUUUCUCACAUCGAGGAAACGAGGAAACCCCCAGUUUGUGGACUUGUGAAAUGAAGGGAGAUAGUGGAUACAGACCAAUUCACUCGGAAACUGGUGCUGGCAGCUGGGAUCCUUACAUCAGUUCUGUAAAUAGUAACCCUAAUAAUUACGCCCAGCGCCGGGUCGCAUGAUCCAUCAGUCAGGCCACAUCAGAGCGUGUCAGAGUUUGUCAGGUGUAUCAUUUUUGUUACCUGCAUCAUUCCCCCACACCCCCGGAACAGGUAACACACCCGAAGGGGGUAAUUUCAUGAAGGCACAGCUCCCCUUGAUCCCCUUGAUCCCCUUGAUCCUCCUCUUGAUCCCCUUGGUCAAGCCCCCAGGAGGCCAGAGGGCACAGGUCUGUGCAGUGAUGGAGAGGAUUUGGAGGGACACACGGAAGAUACCUGGCUGCUCAGGCACCUCAAAAUCUGGGACUCCGAUGCCCCCACUUUAUCUCAGGUUUGUGACCAAGAAUGAUAGUUCUGAUCACGGCUGAAGGUAAGUGUGUGAAGGGGAGGACCCGACACAGAAGCCCAUAAGCAAGCUCUAUAGCCACACAGGGUCCCGGCUCUGAGUCUCGCGGAGGACACAGGUGAGCAGACAGGCAGUGGCAAAGUCACCUUGGCAGCGACAUCCCUGGGGGAGCACACACAAGGGCAGUGCUCGCAGCCUUGGGGCAUCCGGGAGUGCUUCCUGGAAGAAGGGAUCCCAACCUGGGAUGGGAAGGAAGAGAGGAGCGAGUCCUGUGAAGAGGACAGAAGAGCAGGGUCUAUGGCCCGCGGGGGGGACACUGUGGCUGUGGAAAGAGAGGGACAGGGGGCUGGAAAGGUGGGCUGGGCCAGGUCACGCAGAGCCUCGGAGGCUGAGGAACUCCGCCUGAGCAAGAGGGAAGCGUGGAAGGCGUGUCCGCAGGCCCCACAUGGAAGUACUCAGACCCACGAAGCAUUUACUGAGCACCUGCUGGGCACAGGUUGCUAUCGGCACUCUACAGAACGCAGGAAGAGUCCAAGAGAUGAGGACUCCCUGGGAGGGUCUAAUCACUCACUGAGGCAGGAAACAGUCUCCCCACAUAGCGCAGAGACGCUCAUCACUGCCUGCACUUCCAGUGGCUGCAGACUGCUGCUCUGA